rnacentral:rRNA from 1 species
UACAGAGGUCCCGAGCGUUGUUCGGAUUCAUUGGGCGUAAAGCGUGCGCAGGCGGUUCGUUAAGUCAGAUGUGAAAGCCCCGGGCUCAACCUGGGAACUGCAUUUGAAACUGGCGGGCUUGAGUAUGGCAGAGGGGGGUGGAAUUCCGCGUGUAGCAGUGAAAUGCGUAGAGAUGCGGAGGAACACCGAUGGCGAAGGCAGCCCCCUGGGCUGACACUGACGCUCAGGCACGAAAACGUGGGGAGCAAACAGG